UACGUAGGGUGCGAGCGUUGUCCGGAAUUAUUGGGCGUAAAGAGCGCGCAGGCGGUCGUUCAAGUCGCGUGUGAAAGCCCCCGGCUCAACUGGGGAGGGUCACGCGAUACUGAUCGACUCGAAGGCAGGAGAGGGUAGUGGAAUUCCCGGUGUAGUGGUGAAAUGCGUAGAUAUCGGGAGGAACACCAGUGGCGAAGGCGACUACCUGGCCUGUUUCUUGACGCUGAGGCGCGAAAGCUAGGGGAGCAAACGGG
rnacentral:rRNA from 1 species